rnacentral:rRNA from 1 species
GAUUAGAUACCCUGGUAGUCCACGCCGUAAACGAUGUCGACUUGGAGGUUGUUCCCUUGAGGAGUGGCUUCCGGAGCUAACGCGUUAAGUCGACCGCCUGGGGAGUACGGCCGCAAGGUUAAAACUCAAAUGAAUUGACGGGGGCCCGCACAAGCGGUGGAGCAUGUGGUUUAAUUCGAUGCAACGCGAAGAACCUUACCUACUCUUGACAUCCACGGAAUUUGGCAGAGAUGCCUUAGUGCCUUCGGGAACCGUGAGACAGGUGCUGCAUGGCUGUCGUCAGCUCGUGUUGUGAAAUGUUGGGUUAAGUCCCGCAACGAGCGCAACCCUUAUCCUUUGUUGCCAGCGAUUCGGUCGGGAACUCAAAGGAGACUGCCGGUGAUAAACCGGAGGAAGGUGGGGAUGACGUCAAGUCAUCAUGGCCCUUACGAGUAGGGCUACACACGUGCUACAAUGGCGCAUACAAAGAGAAGCGACCUCGCGAGAGCAAGCGGACCUCAUAAAGUGCGUCGUAGUCCGGAUCGGAGUCUGCAACUCGACUCCGUGAAGUCGGAAUCGCUAGUAAUCGUGGAUCAGAAUGCCACGGUGAAUACGUUCCCGGGCCUUGUACACACCGCCCGUCACACCAUGGGAGUGGGUUGCAAAAGAAGUAGGUAGCUUAACCUUCGGGAGGGCGCUUACCACUUUGUGAUUCAUGACUGGGGUGAAGUCGUAACAAGG